CUUCGGGGUUGAAACGGCUCUCUCUCUCUCGCUCUCUCUCUCUCUAUUUUUUUUUUUUUUUUAUUUUUAUUGCUAGAGUACAUUUGUUUAUUUUAUAGUCUGACUCGUAGAGGGAUUUUAAUACUAAAACGGAUUAAGAGAGAUAGACUAUCAGCCCAUUUUGUUACCGGCUCCGUUUCGUCCUAUUAGCGUCAGCAAUUUUGACACCAGUUCGUCAAGACUCGUAACCUUUUGUCGCGAUCGUGAAGGAAGGAUUUAGAAGGCAGACAAUGGAUGAGUCUGUUCAGUAUGCGAGGUAUACUGUCGGCUAUUUCUGCUAUAUAAUGACAGUAUUUCAUUAUUGCGGUUGGUUUCUUCGACUCGUCCGAUUAUAUCGUCUUUCAUCAGCAUCAACUUAGGACCUUGUAACCCUUACGUCGCGGCAUUUUUCCACUCCAUCAUAAAUGUGCGUGCGCCAGCGCGCGCCGGCGUUAACGCCAGCUUGAUUUUUUUUUUUUUUUUUUUUAACCACUUUUUAACCAUUAUUUUCUGUAGAAAAUUACGUUAACUCAACCACAUCGGAAGGUGUUUAGACACGGGUUGACAUUAUACAUUUAUUCAGACUACGACAUUACUUGGACGUCGUCCAAUCGUCUACUUUUCUCCAGGUUUUCCACUGGGGAAAGAGGGGGAAAAGAACAAAAAAACGAAUAAAAACACCAACGACGUUGUCAGAUUAUGGUUUUUUUAAGCAAUAAUCGGGUUAAGGUCUUUUAGAGUAUAAAGUUAAUCGAAUUAAGUUCUUUUUGGUGGCGUAAUUAUAUUAGAGAGAUGUGAUUGAAGUGAUGGAUGGUCCGAAAUUUUAAAAUAGGCACCCAGCAGCACUUACACGGGCUUAUAUGCGGAAUGAGCCAAGAUUAUUUAAGCCGGCUGGAAGUAAAAUAAUUCAAUUUUAAUUUGAUGUAACUUUUUAGAUAACUUAUUGUUGGCGUAAUGAGUCUCUCUCUCUCUCUCUGCUUUCUGCUGCUUGUAUCACUUUCGGUAAAAAUUUUUCGUCUGGUAUACAUUAUUAUAGGAUAGGAGAGAUGGUUUCGGCAUAUUUCUGUAUAUGUGUGCGCGCUAACUUUAAUCAGAAGAGAUGCAUUAAAAAAGAAUACAGGGGGAAAAAAAGAGAGAGAGAGAAAAUAUUCUUGCGCUUUUACGACAAAAGCCACUCGCCAUAUUUCAAGCGUUUCGUACAGAUUCAUUUUAAAUUAAAACGGCACGCUCUGUUAAAUCGAGUUCUGCGAAACUAGUCUUUUUGAUUGAGCAAUUGAAGCUCAAAAACAUUUCACAUUGAUUAAAAAGAAUCAAAAAAGGCACGAGAGGAAUAAAAACCGAUCGAUGGGGUUUUAAACAUCACUGAGAGAGAGAAGUACUUUUCUGCCUUUUAUUUUUACGAGCAAGUUUUGUUUCCCCAGAAACGAUUCCGUGUUUUUUAAUUGCAAAACGUUUCGCUUCCGGUUUUUUUCUUUUUUCUUUUUUUUUGGAAGAGUUAUUCGCGUAAAUCGUCCGUGCGUUGCUCUUAACCCGUAACAUUAAAAAAAAAAGGGGGCGCGCAACAAAUACGAAAUUUAUACCGUUAAAAAGACGGGCGAUUUGUUGCCAGAAUGUAUUGUGGGACAUAUUUCAAAGCGGAGGAGAUAUUUAUUCAAUAUAUAUAUAUAUACAUUUCGCGUUCCAUUGAUCGCGUCGCUCUCGCUAACGCGCGUCUUAACAAAUUUGCCAGAAAACGCGCGGCAGUAAAACACAUUUAGAAAGUAAUGUGUAAUAAGGCGAUUGACCUCGCCGAAAUGUGGACAACGGUAUAAACAGUGUGUGGUCCCUUCUUAGCUUACCGAUUUUAUAUAUAGUCUAUAUGUAUUUUUAUUUUUUUAUGUAUUUUUUUUUUGCGCGCGCGUAUCGACCGGUCCCGAAAACGUCGCUUUGGGCAGCCCCCCAACAUUCAGCAUCUGCAUAUCUCGUAGAUUAAAUGGUGUUAGGUAAACGGCGUCGUUGCCAAAGGAAGCGUUUAUCCCGGUGCUCGUCUCUCCGUUAUCAAUGUUCAACCUAUCACUGCCCCGGGCGCUAUCAUAAGACAUCGAGAAAUACCUGAUUACUACACAUUAUACGGACCGGUGUGGUUGCUAUGCCAACGGCUACACCUAUCUAUACCAUUCAGAACGGAAAAGAGAAUCAAAAAAGGGAGGAAGGAAGGAAACUGCGGGGGAACUGUACCCUAAAGGGUUGAACAACUGAAUACUUCAGAACGUAUGUUUCUACAGAUAACUCGUACAAAGCGUUGCCUUUUGUAAAACCUCGAUAUUGCUACUUUCUCUUCGAUAAAGUGUUUCCGUCGAAAAACUUUUUCGCAAAUUGUGCCGCAUACGAUUGCCGAUAGCGUAAGUUGUUACCAGAGAAAAAAAAUAAAAAAAAAUAGAAAAAACUCUCUUUAAAGUUCAAACCCAGUCUCCUCCUUCUCUCUCUCUCUCUGCAGUUUUUGAACUUGGGGUUUUUAUAUACUCCAUCCGACGAAUCUCGGACUAAUGACUCUAUUUAUAACCCGUUUGGGGGAACCAACGAUUCGUCUUUGGCAAGCUCGAUUCGCUAGAAGAGUAUUGAGACGCCAUUCGUUUAUUCCUUCAUUUGAUUGAUAGGGAACAGUUGGGAGCGCUCUGAGCAGCUGUCAUUCUAUUCCUCCUGCAGUCAUCUUCGCGAAUUUCUUCGAAUGAUUUCGGUUUUACGUGAAUUACACUGCCUCUGAUAUCGGAGAUUUCGCUGUAAAUCAACUGGAGAAAAAGUCUCGAAUUUUUCUUUUGUUGACGUCACGUUAUUACCGACUUUCAACCUCCCCCAAGGAGGCCUUUAGUUAACGCAUUAAUAAGCAACGAUUUUAUAUAUAUAUACAUAACACACACACAUACACACACGGAGAGAGAAGAGAGAGAGAUCUCAUUAACAUAAAUCGAUACGAGAAUCCGCAACUUAAUCUGUUUUCUUCGAAAAAUUAAAAGAAAAUGUUUAAAGAACCGAAUUCCAAUAAACAAAUUAAACUAUUAAUCAUGUAUAAUUAAACAUAAAACAUCUUAAUGCCUUAGCUGUAACGAAUUUUGUCAGUUGCCAAGUGCUAUCUACCAUAGUUUAAUUGCUAUAUUUCGACCCUUUUUGGAGAAGAGAGAGAGAAAGAGAGAGUAAUAAUAAUUGUUGUAAUUUCUAUUAUUAAUCGAGACAUUAGUAAUUUAAAUGAUAAUUUUAUUUUAUUUUAUUCGAAUAACUAAGUAGUUUAAUAUUCUUUUCUAAUGUGCAACGAAAGAGCAGAAAUGGGUAACAAAAAAAAAAGAAACCGCCAUUGUACGUUUCAGCCAAUUUGAUAAAGAGUUCUUAAUAUAUAUCAUAGAGUAUAAGUACAGUUGUGUUCGUUUCAAAGAGGGGUGUAUUCUUUGACAGAUAACUCUGUGUUAUUUUUAGUUACAUAUAUGUCUGGGACUCGAUCCAAGUUGUCUCUCUGUCACCACUCGCUGCAUCUUUUUCUCUUUCUGAUGCCGUUUAAACGUUCCCUUUGAUUCCUUUCCACAAAUCUCACGCCGUUUUGAAAAUACUAGUAAUUAUGGUGUUUCCUUAACAUCGUUCGGUUUUUUUUUUCUACUUCUUCCAUCUUAAAUAACAGGGACGUAUUUUUACCCUCUUUUUACUAGAAAACGAAUGCCACACAAUGGGUUUAUGGUAGCUUGGCGUGCACUGACGUCAUUAGACUAUGUCACGGCAUCGACUGAACGGCCCAAUGCACCGUCAAGAGUAAAUUAUUUUUCUCUUCUUGAUGGUUCGGUCAGUUAUUUGUUUCUCUAUCUCCUUACUGUGCGGGGAUCACUUUUCAUAAACCUCAACCAACACAUCCGGUUUCCAUUGGAGGCCAAAAGGGGAUAAGAAAAGGAGAAGAAGAAGAAGAAGAAAAAAAAAAGACUCCAAUUCUUUUGUGAGGUUGUGUAUUAGUGGAUUGUGAACUAAUGGCUUUAUUGCGGGUCCCACCCACCAGUCAAGGGCAGCUUUGGUGCCCAUCCCUGCGUCUUCCAGUGACUUACAGAUAUGUAAAUAGUAGAAGCAUGCACCUGGCUACACCGCACCCACGUCUAAGGAGAUACGCCAAACAUACCAUCGGCAGGUUUAUGUUGUCACCAUCGUUUUUAUGCAUGCCUAGCGCGUAUUACAAGGCACAACCUCCGAGAUUGUCACCUCAGUCAUUGACCCUUUCGGGAAUCACUCACACCCCUUUUGUUCACGAUUGCCGACUGCUUGUUCGGGGUCAGAGAAGGCUGCUCUCUUCGUGUGCUUGUUGCUCGUACUAACCCCAAUCAGUUCGGUCGAGUUCAAAGAACUUUGCUUCCUCGCCGACCUUUGAACCCACGUCUAAUUGUUAGGCCUGGUUUUGUCUCUCUUCCUUCAUUCUCAGCGGGUUGAUUUCUAGGAUGUGGAAAGGUUUAGGUUGUGUUUAAACUGGUCGUGUGUUUAUCGAAAACUGGAAUUGUUUCAGUUCUAUUUUUUCCUCAGUCGUUGAUCAAAAAAUUUUCUAGAAACUCACCGAUAGCUUCAAACGUACAAAACUGGAACUUCACUCGCUAAAAAUAAGAAUAAAAAUCUUGCUGUUUAUCAUGCCGGGUAUACGGAUAUGCUAAUAUAUAUAUAUCUCUCUGCAGUUUCUCAAAAGGAGUGAUUUGUUUGUUGCAUAAGCGGUUAAGAUUAAUUGAUUCUUUAUACUUGGCUAAAGUACAACCGCAAGAAAUCAAUUAAUCACAAUCGGUUUGUGCGGUGACACGCUGCUUUUCAGUACAACUAUAAAAGGCAUAAGCUGCAUAGUUAAAAAUCACUACUCUAUUCAAAACGGUACAUUUAUUAUACAUACAUAUAUAACGUUAUUCGCCGCUAUGCUGUUAUUCAUGAAAACUUAAUAAAGGGAAUAAUAAACCGAAAACUGUUUCGAUCACUUAUCUAAUUUAUUAAAAAUAAAGUUUUAUCGAAUUAUCUUCGUUUAAGUAGCAUCAGUCUAAUGAGGAAUCGCAUCAAUAUUAAUCGUACUCUUUAACUAGCAUGCGAGUGUCCUUGCAACUCGUGACGUGUCUAUAAAAGUUCUUUUAAUUUGUAACAAUUUUAAUUUCGAAUGUUUUUUUGGUAACAGAGCUGUUUUUAUCGUUAUAUCUCAACGUAGAUUUGCCAACGUGCCAUAAUUUCUAUAUGUAAGAGGUCAGACAUCUGCCAAAUAGUUUGAUUCGCAUCCCAAUGGAGCAAACACGAAGGAAAUCUUUUGAAAGAUUAAUAUAUAACAUUUUGUUCUCGCAGAAAAACCAUCAGCUGUUCGAUUAGGAAAACAUUUUAUCCUACGGGUGGGAUAUACGCGAUUUUUCAUCUUAGAAGAUUCAGUUUAACAUUAGCGAUGAAUAUCCGUAGCGUUGAAAAAUCUUUAGACAUAUCUCUUUUUUUUUUUUUGUUUGUUU
rnacentral:lncRNA from 1 species